rnacentral:lncRNA from 1 species
CCCUCUGCUGAUGAUCCUUUGCUGCCGGUCUGCCGGAUACUGCACACAGACAGGAACAACCAAGAUACAAUGUCAUAUGUGUGAGGGGACGGCCUUUUUACAUUCAAGUAUGUUAGAUAUUUGCCUUUUAUGUGUGAAUUAAUUGUGGAAUUUUACUUUUGAGUUGCAAUUUGUUAAAUCCAUGUCUUCUUAGGUGGGGAGGAAAGUCAUAUAUACCGUGUCAAAUUUGAGAUUUGAGGGAAGCUAACUGGCCUUCUUCGUGAUAUCUGUAUUUCCGAUUUUAUUUGCUUUGUUGGUUUGUUUCAUGAUCUGUUUUUCUGGCCGCUAAACAGAAAUUAGGAUUUAAUAGAACAGGUAAGUAAAAUAGAGGUGAUAUGUCUAGAGACUGGAAACAAAUCCUCUUCUGUUUUGUGGUCUGUCAGAUUCUUCUGGUAGUCCGAAGAUCCCCGAAUUCCUUAAAAUUGGACCAUGGUUCGCAGAAUGCAAGAUGUAAUCUUUGAACUUGUAUAUGGCUACUGUAUACAGAAUUGCAUAAUCAUAGAAAGAUUGUGCUUGGAGGAUUAAAGAUACACCCUAAAAAGGGAAGUUUAAUUGCACGUCAAUCUGUUGAUAAUAUGAAAUGGGUCUUUUUCUUGAACUAGUAUAUGGUGUUAUGUUAAACGUGUUACACAUAUAUUGCCCUUUCAUGCUACAACAACAACAUACUCAGUGAAAUCCCACUAAGUAGGGUCUACGAAGGAUAGAGUAUACACAGACCUUACCACUACCUCGUGGAAGUAGAGAGGUUGUUUCCGAAAGACCCUCGGCUCAAGUGCGUCAAAUUCAAGUAAAAGAAGAAGACAAUGAAGAAAACAUAGCAGUUAAAUAAGAAAAGCAGUGUAUAGUCGAUAAAAAAGCAAUAACAACAACAAAAUAGUGGGGGUCAUGUACCCUUUCAUGCUACAUGAGCAAAAAUACCUUGAACUGCAAUUUAUUUCAUUAGAAUCAUUGCAUGUUCUUGCUAUUAUUGUGAAAAAGACUGAGUAGCUAUAAUAGGUUACAGGAAAAAUACUAUUUUGUAUUUCUGGGAUGCGCUACUUAGGAAUAUGUUCGUGUUUCGGAGGCCAGUUUAUGCUGAAAAGACACCUUUUUAGAUUUCAUAAACCAUACCAACUUGAAGUGUUUUAUCUGGUGGAAUUUGAAGUGCAGAAAUAGCUGCCCUGCUAUUCUUCUGAAGAAACCUGUACAAGUACUCUAUAGUGAAGCGAGCAAACCAACCUUUAUUUGCUUUGAGAAUGGUUCUUCCUAACACAAAAACGGGUCCUCUUUCAGCAGCUGCAUCUAUUUUUCGUUUUUCACUAGUAGACUCGGCUUGGUCUUGGAGUUUUGUGAUCAUUAAAGUAACAAAGUCAUCUCCUUCCAUGCUUUGAGAAUCCUUAUAUCCAAACUGAAUCAAACACCGAUAAAAUCCUUCAACUCCCGUCUUCCCCACAUUGUAACGUUCCUCCACCAGGACGGUUUUGAUGGGAAGAGUUCUAACAGUGACAAUUACCAGGAUUUCUCUUACAGAAUUUGUGUGCUGAAUGUAAUGACAGAUUAUGGGUGGAAUGCCAUUUCUGAGAUCAGUGAAAAAGAAGCAAAUUCCUGGUGCUCGGUAUGUACUAUAGCUUGAUAGCAUUUGGUCUAGAUCAGGUAAACUCAUCUUUCUAUCUGCUUCAUAUUCUUUUUUCUUACUCCUUCCAUAUGUCCAAGAUAGCAUGAUAGUCAAGAAGAAAGCAGAAAUAGCAAAUGGCACCCAUCCUCCUUGUGGUAUUUUAUUGAGCAAAGAUGUCAUGAAACAACCUUCAAUUAUUAUAUAAGGCAAGAAAAAUGCCAAAAUGAGAAUGAUAUUUGUCUUCCAUAUGAUUAGCAUCACUAAUGCUGUCAAGAAUGUUGUUAUGAUCAGGGGCGGACCCACGUGGAGGUCAGGGGGUUCACCCGAACCCCCUCAUCGAAAAAUUACACUGUAUAUAUAAGGUCUAUUUCUGAUUUUAUGAGUACAUAUAUUAAAAUGAACCCCCUCAAUUUUUAAGAGAGGCAUGGCUCAGUGGUUAAGGGGUUCAACUCUAACCAAGAGGGUCUGGGUUCGAUUCCCACUUGCAACAUUUUUCCAUUUGUUUUUUUUUCUUUGAAAGGUUGAAUGGGCUCUUGCUUUGGGCUCAAAUCCAAUUCCAUUUCAUUGUUUUUAGAAGGCUGUAUGGGCUCUGGUUUCGGGCUCAAAUCCCAACUCAAUGAAAUGUCUCACUAUUUGAUUAUUAUUAAAUUUGAAAUUGAUUUACAAAAAUAUUAUAUAAAAAUAAAUUAAAUUAAAGUUAAUCGAAUGAAGAAAUUUAAAAGUCGUGUAUAAUCUUUUAAUAAAAUCUAAUUAAUUGAUUCCCGCCCCUCCCCCCCCUCUUAAAUUUAUAGUAUUUCUUUCUUAUUUUUUUUCAGUUUGAUUUUAAAAAGAUGAAAACUAAACUAAACUUAUUUGUUCUAUUCAUCAUUUGAUGAAUUAUUAUUAAAUUUGAAAUUGAUUUACAAAAAUAUUAUAUAAAAAUAAAUUAAAUUAAAGUUAAUCGAAUGAAGAAAUUUAAAAGUCGUGUAUAAUCUUUUAAUAAAAUCUAAUUAAUUGAUUCCCGCCCCUCCCCCCCCUCUUAAAUUUAUAGUAUUUCUUUCUUAUUUUUUUUCAGUUUGAUUUUAAAAAGAUGAAAACUAAACUAAACUUAUUUGNNNNNNNNNNNNNNNNNNNNNNNNNNNNNNNNNNNNNNNNNNNNNNNNNNNNNNNNNNNNNNNNNNNNNNNNNNNNNNNNNNNNNNNNNNNNNNNNNNNNUAAACUUAUUGGAUUCAGAUUACUAGUUUCCUCCUAUAUCUCGCUCAGUUUUUUAUCUUGUAAUUUUCACAUGUUUACUUCUUUAUAUUUCGAACCCCCUCCACAGAAAUCCUGGAUCCGCCACAGUUGACACCCCUUCGUUAGAAAACUAUAUUGUAUAGAUAGGUAACUUAUUUAUUUUAUAUAUAUGUGUUAUGAUAUUGAUAUCCUUUGAAUUCUUCAUGAAUUUACUUAUUUAUAUUUUGACAUUUCUUUAUGAAAAUUCUGAUUCGAACACUAAAAAUAACUAUCAAUAUUAAAUGACUGAUGACGACGAUCAUGCAUGAUAAAAGGAUGAUCAAGUGAACAACUCUAUCGACAAUUGCAUUGGGUAUCAAAUAAGGAUAAUAUACUUAAUAAUAUUGAUAUUUUUCUUUCUUUAUAGAAUAGAAUAAUGAGUUGGCACCUUUUUGAAGUUUCUUUUUAAGCACGUCGCCAAAAGUCAAAAUUCUUUUGGAUAUCCCUUUCUAUGGACGUCAUUUAGAUUUUGUCAUCUAUUAAUGAUUUUGUGCCAAUUAUUUAUAAGAUCGCAUAAGAUAUAAACGUUCUUUUUAACUUGACCUCAAUUGAUAUUUAUCUAUGUUUUUUAAUUUUGAAUGUAUAUAAGUAGACACUUGAAUUUGUACAAAAUUGAACAAAUAGACACAUUCAUCUUACGUGGCAUCCUACAAGUCAACUGUGUGUCCUACAUAUAUAUUAUGUCACGUAGGAUACAUAUAUAUAUCUAGGAAAAGUUAAUCCACAUAUACAUAUAAAAACAUAUAUUACAUCGUAUAUACGUAGAAAUUAGUAAUAUAACAAAAUAAUUACUAGUGAUGACAGAUUUGGAUUAUUUAAUAAUUAAUUUAAUUAUAUUUGAAUUAUUUAAUAAUUAUAUUUUUUUUGCUUUAGUGCAAAUAAGAAGCGUGCAAUUUUUGUAGUAGUACGUACCUAGGAUAUGAUCAUGACCCAGAUGACCACCACCCCUGUAGUUGAAAAAGAAAAGUUAGUUCCAUUUCUCAGCGAAGUACGCUUUAUUUGGACUUCCAGUUGUGGUUUAACUUAACAACAACAACAACAGAUCUAGUGUGAUCCCACACUUGUCUGGAGAGGUGGGUGGUAUGCAGACUGUACCCUACCUUUGCGAGGUAGAGAGGUUGCUUACGAUAAGACCCUCUCGGCUCAAGAAAAGCGUUUUUCAAACAUUUUUAUACUAUUAAUUUUACUCGUUUGGAAACCGACUCUCUACCUCCACGAGGUAGCGUAAGGUCUGUGUACACUCUACCCUCCCUAGACCUCACCUGUGUGAUUACACUAGGUAUGUUAUUGUUGUUGUUGAAUUAAUAAUAAUUUUACUGAUUAUAACAGGUUAUUUACCAUUGUUACAGAUUAUUAACCCAUUCUUGCUAUAAAAAGUUGCAUAUAAUUGGUUAUUUUAAGUAGCAUGAUAGUAUUAGAUUUUUAAGUUGUCGGUGUACAAAAAGAAAUCUGAGUGAUGCUUACCAUAGGCAUUUGCUAGUUCAACACCUCCUUUGAAACCAAGAACGAGAGUGACACAAAGAAUCAUGAGGAUGUAGUUUACCUCUGGGGAAUAGAUUUGUCCUUCAUGCUUGGAUGAAGUAUGUAUAAUGUUUACUCGAGGGAAGCAUCCAAGAGCAAGUGAUUGCUUUACAAUGGAAAAAGUUGCUGAUAUCAUGGACUGGCUAGCAACCACGGCAGCUAGAGUUGAGAUUACAAACAUUGGCCAGUAAACAGGUUUUGGUAGGGAACUGUAAUAAGCAUUGUUGAUAUUCUCUGGAUACCUCACUAGAUAAGCUGUUUCUCCGGCAUAGCUGAGAACUAGGGAUGGAUAAACUACAAAAGAAAAUGCCAACUGCAAGACUCAUUGUACAGAAAUGCCAUCAAUCAGAUUAACUUUUCUAAUGGUAGAUUAGAGUUCUUUGUUCCUUACCUGAAUUGCUCUUUUAUUGAAAUGACCUAAAUCAGCAAACAUGGCUUCCGCUCCUGCAUGACAGUUUAAAACAUGUCGGAAGUGAACUAAUUUUCUCCUAUUUCAUAUGCUUUUCUUUUAUCUUUUUUUUCCCCUCAAAAUUAGUUGUAAAGUUAAACCUGUAAUGCUUAGAAAUACUGCACCGAGAAGAUUCCAAGCAGUCUUUCCAUUUCUUGAAACAAAUUUCACUAUGUAGUGUGGAGAAAUGGCUUUAAGAACGGAUGGAUAGUACUCCAAAAUAUUGUAGAUACCGACUGAAACAUUGGUAGCAAACCACAAUAACAUUACGGGUGUGAAGCAGAAGCUAACUUUGCUUGUUCCACAGCGUUGAAAAGUGAAAAGUGCGAUUAACAUAAUCACAGACAUGAAAACCACAUGAUCUGCAGCCAAUAGAACUUUCAUUAAACCUCACGUUUUGGUGAGUAAAUGGAAGCAGAUCUGAACUAGCAAUAGAACUGUCUUUUGAAAAUUAUUUUGACUUUACCUUGUGUUAUCUUGGAAGAGAGAGAUUGAAUUCCUUGCAGGGCUGAGAGAACUGAUGUAACAAGUGUAUGGACAUGAGGCAACGUCGAAAGGAAAUAUAACUUGGAGAAAACAAAGGAAGAAUGUUACCGCAAGUAGCAGGAGUGAGAGCUCCAUCACCAAUGACCAUACAAGUUCCAAGUAAAACAACAAAAGUAAGAACAUUUUGAGCUGUGGAACUUUUCUCCAGGAACUUCUUAGUUUUUGAACGCCUAGAACUUCCACUCUCUUGGCUGUAAUAAGCCAUGCUCUCAUCAGAUUCCAUCCUAACGUUGUGGAUACUAAGUUUGCUUUGGAAAUUGAUAUGGCGACAGAGAUAUGAAUAGAGAGCAAAAGUACCGCCUUCUCCAUGAUCAUUAGCAUGGAGGACGAUGAAGACAUAUUUGACUAACACAAGCAACGUUAGAGUCCAAAAGAUUAGGCUGAAUGUCCCAAGUAAAUCAUCUUCAGUGAGAUUUGUCAAGCGAGUAGAGGAAAAUACAUUGACAGGAGAAGUGGCAAGGUCCCCAUAUACAACUCCAAGAGAUUGGUAAGCCAACAACAAGGUCUGCAUGGGUGGAUAUUCCUGAGAAAAAUACUCAAAAUCUCAAUAUCCUAUGAAGUGACUUAGAAGUUUCAAGGCAGUAACAAAAAAAAGUGUGAAGUUAUCAGAUUUUAUCGAAACUGGUAGUAGCACUAGCACACAUCGAGGGUAAAAUGAGAACAGGUUGCUUGUGAUGAUUUCAUCAUGUCCUAUGUCAACCUCCAGAUGCACCGGUCUGCAGGAACCAUGAUGACUUAAGGUGUUCAAAAGGAAGAGGUAGUUAUAACUUAAUCACAUGAAGGAAGUUAUCCCGAAAGACCUACACUCUCUUGAAAUCUAUGCAAACCUAGCAAAAGAUCGGGCACAAUGAAAGAAAAGGAUCUAUGUGGAUGAUACCAGUUAGUUGGUUUAAGCUUUAAUUAUGCUAAUAUGUUUACUUUCGAUCCCAAUGUUUGUUGGGAGUUUUUAGGUCUUGUUUGAGAUUUCAUGCGUGGGAAAUGCAGACAGCUUCUAGUGCUACAAAAACUAAUUCUUUAUUAUAUUUGAACUUAGACAAAGCUUAAUUGAGUGACAUGGACAAUGAGAAUUCAUAUAGCCGAGGAUUCACAUAGACGGUCUUAAAUAGAGGGACAGUGGAUAUUUCUUGGAAUAUUGAAGAUGAGAAAAAGUAAAGCUUACCUUAGCUUUGGUUAAGGGAGACUGGUAUGUCUGCAUAACUGUCAUGUAUGUUUCCAUAGCAGGUACUGGUUCUGGAACAACUCUCCUGCUGUUGUUACAAAGGUCAAUACGGUUACUAUCUUCAAGAUUGCUUCUACUUUCAAUAUCAUAGUUCUUUAUGCUGGAAUUGUUGCUUUUAACAUCUUCCAUGUUUUAAAUGCAGGACACUUCCAAUAUUCUAGUUAAGAAGUUGCCGUACAUUGUGUCAUGCUUAUAUAGCUUCAAAAAAGCCUCAAGGACUAUCGAUUUGCAAACAGGGAUAUCGAUUUGGUUGAUCCUAAGAAUAAAACAAAAGAUAUAAGUUAGUGCUGCAAAUUCUAAAAGCCACAAGUUGCUGGAGAGGGAGCAG